rnacentral:rRNA from 1 species
GAUGAACGCUGGCGGCGUGCCUAAUACAUGCAAGUCGAGAGAAUGGAUUAAGAGCUUGCUCUUAUGAAGUUAGCGGCGGACGGGUGAGUAACACGUGGGUAACCUGCCCAUAAGACUGGGAUAACUCCGGGAAACCGGGGCUAAUACCGGAUAACAUUUUGAACCGCAUGGUUCGAAAUCGAAAGGCGGCUUCGGCUGUCACUUAUGGAUGGACCCGCGUCGCAUUAGCUAGUUGGUGAGGUAACGGCUCACCAAGGCAACGAUGCGUAGCCGACCCGGGAGGGUGAGCGGCCACACUGGGACUGAGACACGGCCCAGACUCCUACGGGAGGCAGCAGUAGGGAAUCUUCCGCAAUGGACGAAAGUCUGACGGAGCAACGCCGCGUGAGUGAUGAAGGCUUUCGGGUCGUAAUACUCUGUUGUUAGGGAAGAACAAGUGCUAGUUGAAUAAGCUGGCACCUUGACGGUACCUAACCAGAAAGCCACGGCUAACUACGUGCCAGCCGCCGCAGUAA